CCUAUGGCAAAGUGUGCCUCUCAUUUCCCUGUAGCAGCUGUUCCUCACAGAGGAUAACCAUUGACUCAAAUGGUAGAUUGAAAGGUUUCCAGCAUUGCAGAUGACCCACACAGAGGAAAUUUUUGCUUCCUAAAAAUGUGCAUACUCCUUGGAAAUAACUACAUUUCCCUGAAUUUCUGAAGAAUUGAAAGCUGAGGAGCAGCCCAAAUCACAAUGUCCGAGAGAAUCUGUUGUUUAAACAGGUUGGCUGCUACUGAACCAGGAGAGGAGAAGUAGGUUCACCUCUGAUUUAACUGGCACUCCUGCCUUCCCAAAUGAGGCUGGACUUUUCCCUAAUGCCAAGGACCAGAGGCUGGGAUGGGCAUGUGUGCAAAAGGCAUCCUGGUGCGUCAUCUGUCAGUUCCCGUAUUUCCAUGUUUCCCUCAGGUCACCAUUGAGAUGAGCGAUCUUAGCUUGGUUCUUGGGACAUAAAAAGCUUUUCAGUUCACAAAACCCAUCAUCGCUACCCUGACUAUGACUGAUUGCCAUCACCACCCUCAUGCCCACCUGAAAACACUGAUUCUGUAGAUCCAAGUGCAUAGCUAGUGCUACGAGUCUAGGGAAUGAUUUUAGUUAUAUCGAAGAGACGUGUAGCGGGGACUCCUGGAAACUGUGUCUAGUCCUCUUUGGACAGCAAAUGGCUGGGGCUGAAAUGGAGACAGAGCACAUUCCUGGAACAAUCUUUAAAAUAGAUCUAGGAUCAUCUCUAUCCUUUAGGACUGAGAACUUGGGGUGGGACCCCACUCAGGUGAGCCAUAAUGGUGAGAGAAAAGGGAAGUUACGUGGCUGCUUGAGCAAGUGUCAAAUACAGAAGAUGACAUACAGCUGGGCACUGAAGUAAUUUCGCCUGGGUUUGUUUACAAGAAGUAGAAGUCAGACUAACAAGGCCUUAGGAGCAGGGGGCAGUGUAAACAGUUAA